CCUACGGGGGGCUGCAGUAGGGAAUCUUUCACAAUGGGCGAAAGCCUGAUGGAGCAACGCCGCGUGCGGGAUGAAGGCCUUCUGGUUGUAAACUGCUUUUAUAAGCGAGAAAUAUGAUGGUAACUUAUGAAUAAGGAUCGGCUAUCUACGUUCCAGCAGCCGCGGUCAUACGUAGGAUCCGAGCAUUAUCCGGAGUGACUGGGUGUAAAGAGUUGCGUAGGUGGCAUAAUAAGUAGCUAGUGAAAUCUGGUGGCUCAACCAUUCAGACUAUUAGCUAAACUGUUAAGCUCGAGACCGUUAGGGGUAACUGGAAUUUCUAGUGUAGGAGUGAAAUCCGUAGAUAUUAGAAGGAACACCAAUAGCGUAGGCAGGUUACUGGGACGGUUCUGACACUAAGGCACGAAAGCGUAGGGAGCAAACGGGAUUAGAUACCCGAGUAGUC
rnacentral:rRNA from 1 species